GCUCUCUCGGCGAGCCGCGGGAAGCGGCCGCGUCACUCGCGAAGCCGCGCCGUCCCCAGCUCCUCCAGGCACCACGCGCUGGGAGGCCAGCACCAGCCAGAGUCGGUGACGCCGCUUCACCGACGUGGGGCGGGCAAGAGAGAAGGCCUGUGGUCCUGGCCCCCGCCUCCGGAGCCCGGGUGACCGCAGAGAAAUGAACACAGAAACAGAGCAACAGCUUCUUCAUCAUGCCAGAAAUGGCAAUGUUGAAGAGGUAAGACAGCUAUUAGAAACCAUGGACAAGAAUGAAGUAAUUGCUGACAUUAAUUGCAAAGGAAGAAGUAAGUCUAACUUGGGCUGGACACCUCUUCAUCUGGCAUCCUAUUUUGGACAUAAACAAGUUGUCCAUGAUCUGUUGAAGGCUGGCGCAGAUGUGAAUGUGUUAAAUGACAUGGGCGAUACACCACUUCAUCGAGCUGCCUUCACAGGACGAAAGGAGUUGGUAAUGCUUCUCUUAGAAUAUAAUGCUGAUACUACCGUGGUAAAUGGGAAUGGACAGACAGCAAAAGAAGUUUCUCAUGACAAAGAAAUCAGAAACAUGCUUGAAGCUGUUGAAAGGACUCAACAAAGAAAGCUUGAAGAAUUACUUUUAGCAGCAGCAAGAGAAGGCAAAACAGCAGAAAUCACAGCUCUGCUCAGCAGACCCAAUCCUCCUGAUGUUAACUGUUUGGAUCAGUUAGGGAAUACACCUUUGCAUUGUGCAGCUUACCGGGCCCAUAAGCAGUGUGCCAUAAAGCUUCUGAAAAGUGGAGCUGACCCUAACCUAAGGAACAAAAAUGAUCAAAAACCUCUUGAUCUUGCCCAGGGUGCUGAAAUGAAACAUGUUCUUAUUGGUAAUAAGGUCAUCUACAAAACCCUGAAACGGUAUGAAGGCCCUCUCUGGAAGAGUUCAAGAUUUUUUGGCUGGAGAUUGUUCUGGGUAGUGUUAGAACAUGGAGUCCUUUCAUGGUAUAGGAAACAGCCUGACGCAGUCCAUAAUGUUUAUCGCCAGGGAUGCAAACACCUGACUCAAGCAGUGUGCACGGUGAAAUCCACUGAUAGCUGCCUCUUCUUUAUCAAAUGCUUUGAUGACACCAUCCAUGGAUUUCGAGUUCCUAAGAAUGCACUUCAACAGUCAAGAGAGAACUGGCUGGAAGCAAUUGAAGAACAUUCUGCAUAUAGUACUCAUUACUGCUCCCAAGACCAGUUGACUGAUGACGAAGAAGAUGAUACGGUUUCUGCUAUAGACUUGAAGCAAUCCUUACAGAAAGCACAAACAUGUCAACAGAGACUCGAUAGGGAAAUUUCCAGCUUUCUUAAAAUGAUUAAGGAGUGUGACAUGGCUAAAGAAAUGCUUCCAUCAUUUCUUCAGAAAGUUGAAGUUGUCUCUGAAGCUUCUAGAGAAAGUUGUGUUGCUUUGAGUGAUUGCCUUAAUGUCUUCAAUAAGCAAGAAGGGGUGAGGAAUUUAAAAUUGGAACAGGAACAAGAAAAAAACAAAAUUUUGUCAGAAGCACUGGAAACUCUAGCCACUGAGCAUCAUGAAUUAGAGCAAUCUCUGGUUGAAGGAUCCCCACCUCCCAGCAUCCUGAGUGAAGACGAGUUCUAUGAUGCACUGUCAGAUUCUGAGUCCGAGCGGUCCCUGAGUCGAUUGGAGGCAGUGACAGCCCAAUCCUUUGAAGAGGAAGAAGAACACUUGAACAGGGGAAAACACAGAAUGUCUGAAGGAAAAGAUUGUGGUGGUGGAGAUGCACUCUCCAAUGGCAUCAAAAAGCACAGAACAAGCUUGCCCUCUCCUAUGUUUUCCAGAAAUGACUUCAGUAUCUGGAGCAUCCUCAGGAAAUGUAUUGGAAUGGAACUCUCCAAGAUCACCAUGCCAGUUAUAUUUAAUGAGCCUUUGAGCUUCUUACAGCGGCUAACUGAGUACAUGGAGCAUACUUACCUCAUCCACAAGGCCAGUUCAUUAUCUGAUCCUGUGGAAAGGAUGCAGUGUGUAGCUGCGUUUGCUGUGUCUGCAGUUGCUUCUCAGUGGGAACGCACAGGAAAGCCAUUCAACCCGCUCCUUGGAGAAACUUACGAACUGGUCAGAGAUGACCUCGGAUUCAGACUCAUUUCGGAACAGGUCAGCCAUCACCCACCAAUCAGUGCAUUUCAUGCAGAAGGACUAAAUAAUGACUUUAUCUUUCAUGGCUCAAUCUAUCCAAAACUGAAGUUUUGGGGGAAGAGCGUAGAAGCAGAACCCAAAGGAACCAUCACCUUGGAGCUCCUUGAACACAGCGAAGCAUAUACAUGGACCAACCCUACCUGCUGUGUGCAUAAUAUCAUCGUGGGUAAACUCUGGAUCGAGCAGUAUGGCAAUGUGGAAAUCACAAACCACAGGACUGGGGACAAAUGCGUGUUAAAUUUUAAGCCAUGUGGCCUUUUUGGUAAGGAAUUACACAAAGUUGAAGGCUACAUACAAGAUAAAAGCAAAAAGAAGCUAUGUGCUCUCUAUGGGAAGUGGACUGAGUGUUUAUAUAGUGUUGACCCUGCCACUUUUGAGGCUUACAAAAAAAAUGAUAAGAGAAACACUGAAGAGAAGAAGAACAGCAAACAGAUGAGCAACUCUGAAGAGUCUGAUGAAAUGCCAAUGCCAGAUUCUGAAAGUGUGUUUGUUAUCCCUGGAAGUGUUCUCCUGUGGCGAAUAGCACCACGGCCUCCCAACUCUGCCCAGAUGUAUAAUUUUACUAGCUUUGCAAUGGUUUUGAAUGAAGUAGACAAGGAAAUGGAAAGUGUGAUUCCUAAGACAGACUGCAGAUUGCGGCCAGACAUCAGAGCCAUGGAGAAUGGGGAGAUAGAUCAAGCUAGUGAAGAAAAAAAACGACUUGAGGAAAAACAAAGAGCAGCUCGCAAAAACAGAUCCAAGUCAGAAGAGGACUGGAAGACGAGGUGGUUCCAUCAAGGUCCCAAUCCCUACAAUGGAGCCCAAGACUGGCUUUACUCUGGCAGCUACUGGGACAGAAACUACUUCAAUUUGCCUGACAUUUAUUAAAACGCAGACAAGCCAGGGUGUUUGGCUAAUCUACAAAUAAGUCUUAAAUUUGUUCAAAAUUUUCCCUUAGUUUCUCAUCUUAAAAAAAUUGUUCACAAGUUAUCUUGCGUUUCCCCCAUAAGAUAGGAUUAUACAGUGAUUUUGAUCAUGAAAGUCUCAGGAAAAGUCUAAUUUUGCUGUCAACAUACAUUUAGAAUACUGUUUUACAGAGAGGUAAGAGAAAAAGGUCCCUUUUCUGGUUGCAGCUGCCAUGUUUACUGCAGGUUUAUAUGUAAAUUUAACAUUAGCUUUAUAGAAUUACAUAGAACUCUUAAACGAAGUUAUUUUCAACUAUUUUAUGCUGUCAUGCUUAUAUGUUUUAGAAGUAACUUUGAAAUGUUUCUAGUUCUCCUAUAUGAUGUAUGCUCAAAUGUUAAAGGUUGUCAUUUGUAAAGACUAAAUUGAUAAGAUGGCUUUAUUCAUAUUAAUCUCAACUUUACCCACUUGAAUAUUCAGGUUUCACCAACUUGAAAAUCCUCAAAAAUUAAACUGGAAAAGGUAUUUUGUUUUCAUGCUCUGAAGAAUUUACUAUAACAAUUUUCUGCAGUUGUCAUUAGAAUUAAAAUGUUUAUUUUUAAGUGAAAAUAUGUAUAAAAUCUAGCAGUUCACAAAUAUGUCCUAGAAAUAUUUUAGUCACUAUCAUUAUUACAUAAUGACAGACCUUUUAAAAUGUGUCAGCUUACAGUGGCAAAUGCCAGAGAAAUUAAGCUAACUCAUGUAUUAUAUCACAAGGAGGUCUUAUGCAUUUCAAGGUACCUGGGUACUUAAAAAUAUAUAUGGAGACCUACUGUACAGUAGCUUUGCCCCUAUACUUGGGGUUCAUUAAUCUUUUAGUAUUUAUCCACCCAGACAGACAGUGCUCAAGGAGCCUCACUUAGGUAGCUGCCAGUAAAUUGCUAUCUUGAAGUUAACAAGUGUUAUAAUGAAAUAAUCUACCUGAUGCUAAAUAAAGGCUUUAGAAUGUUC